rnacentral:ncRNA from 1 species
CGACCCCAGAUCAGGAUGGAUUACCCGCUCAGUUUAAGACUAUCAAUAAAUGGAGGAAAAUAAACUUACAAGGAUUCCCUCAGUAACGAAAAGCAAACCAAGAAUAGCCAACCUUAGAAUUGAGCGGCUUCAUCAUCCGAAUUAUAGUCUGGAGAAGCUUCCUCAGUGGCAGACCGGCCCAAGUCCCCUGGAAGGGGUGCUAGAGAGGGUGAGAGCCCCAUUGUGCUCGGACCCUAUCGCACCACAAGGCGCUAUCUAUGAGUCGAGUUGUUUGGGAAUGCAGCCCAAAUCGGGCGGUGAAUUCCGCCCAAGGCUAAAUACGAGCGAGAGGCCGAUAAUGAACAAGUACCGUGAGGUAAAGAUGAAACUGAAUUUGAAGAAAGAGUCAAAGAGUGCUUGAAAUUAUUGGGAGGGAAGCGGAUGGGAGACGAUGAUAUGCCCCAGUCAGAUGUGGAACGGAGAUGAGCCGGUUCGUCGUUCGACUCAGGGUGUGGACCAGCAUGGAUUGGGGGAGGCCAAAGCCCGAGCUCUUGGUACGCUCGUGGAAUGCCGUCUCCUCAAUUGUGGCAGGUAGUGCGUGCCUCCGAUGUGCUUCAACAUCUGCGCACUUUGGAUGCUGGCCUGUGGGCUCCCCAUUCAACCCGUCUUGAAACACAGACCAAGGAUUCUGACAUGUGUGCGAUUCAAUGUUCGAGUAAACCCAUAAGACGCAAGGAAGAUGAUUGGUGGGAUCCCCCUGAGGGGUGCAUCGCCGACCGACCUUGAUCUUCUGAGAAUGGUUCUAGUGUGAGCAUACUUAUCGGGACCCAAAAGAUGGUGAACUAGGCCUGAGCUGGGCGAAGCCAUAGGAAACUUUGGUGGAGGCCCACAGUGAUAUUGACGUGUAAAUCGUUCGUCUGACUUGCGUGCACCACAUGCUAAGUGCACGGAUUCACCAAUGAACCAUGGGCAAAAUGGCCACUAAGGAUUAUGUGCUUGGCACCCGUAUGCCCGUGCACCCACUGUGAGCACACUAUGUAUUCGGCACUCGCACACCACAACACCAAUAAAACACCAUGCCACAUGCCCCAAAAUGGAUCGGCGACCCCUGCACCAUGCAAAAAUAAAAGGAACAUAAACAUGUGAGGGUUCAUAACUAGUAACUUCGACAAUUACAAAAUAAAUGCUUCCACCAAGGUUCGUUCAUCCUAAUACUU